GAUUCCCCUAGUAACUGCGAGUGAAGAGGGAAAAGCUCAAAUUUAAAAUCUGGCAGCUUCGCUGUCCGAGUUGUAAUUUAGAGAAGUGUUACCCGUGCUGGACCGUGUACAAGUCUCCUGGAACGGAACGUCAUAGAGGGUGAGAAUCCCGUCUUUGACACGGACUCCCAGUAUGUUGUGGUACGCUCUCGAAGAGUCGUGUUGUUUGGGAAUGCAGCACUAAAUGGGUGGUAAAUUCCAUCUAAAGCUAAAUAUUGGCGAGAGACCGAUAGCAAACAAGUACCGUGAGGGAAAGAUGAAAAGAACUUUGGAAAGAGAGUUAAACAGUACGUGAAAUUGUUGAAAGGGAAACGCUUGAAGUCUAGUCGCGUCGGUUGGAAAUCAGUCUUGCUUCUGCUUGAUGUACUUUCUAAUCGAUGGGUCAGCAUCAGUUUUGACCGUUGGAUAAAGGUUGGGGGAAUGUGGCAUCCUCGGAUGUGUUAUAGCCUCUGAUUGCAUACAACGGUUGGGACUGAGGAACUCAGCACGCCGCAAGGCCGGGUACUUGUACCACGUUCGUGCUUAGGAUGCUGGCAUAAUAGCUUUAAUCG
rnacentral:rRNA from 1 species